rnacentral:rRNA from 1 species
GACAGAGGGUGCAAACGUUGUUCGGAAUUACUGGGCGUAAAGCGCGUGUAGGCGGCCCUGCAAGUCGGGUGUGAAAUCCCACGGCUCAACCGUGGAAGUGCACUCGAAACUGCAGGGCUAGAGUCCUGGAGAGGAAGGUGGAAUGCUUGGUGUAGAGGUGAAAUGCGUAGAUAUCAAGCGGAACACCGGUGGCGAAGGCGGCCUUCUGGACAGUGACUGACGCUGAGACGCGAAAGCGUGGGGAGCAAACAGG